AACUUUCAACAACGGAUCUCUUGGUUCUCGCAUCGAUGAAGAAGGCAGCGAAAUGCGAUACGUAAUGUGAAUUGCAGAAUUCCGUGAAUCAUCGAAUCUUUGAACGCACAUUGCGCCCCUUGGUAUUCCAGGGGCAUGCCUGUUUGAGCGUCAUUUCC
rnacentral:rRNA from 1 species